rnacentral:rRNA from 1 species
UACAGAGGUCCCAAGCGUUGUUCGGAUUUAUUGGGCGUAAAGAGCUCGUAGGCGGUUCGGUAAGUCGGGUGUGAAAACUUUGGGCUCAACCCAAAGCCUGCACUCGAUACUGCUGUGACUUGAGUCCGGUAGGGGAGAUCGGAAUUCCUGGUGUAGCGGUGAAAUGCGCAGAUAUCAGGAGGAACACCGGUGGCGAAGGCGGAUCUCUGGGCCGUAACUGACGCUGAGGAGCGAAAGCAUGGGGAGCGAACAGG